rnacentral:rRNA from 1 species
AAAUGAAUAGACGGGGGCCCGCACAAGCGGCGGAGCAUGCGGAUUAAUUCGAUGCAACGCGAAGAACCUUACCAAGGCUUGACAUACGCUAGAUCGCUCCAGAGAUGGGGUUUUCCUUUGGACUGGUGUACAGGUGGUGCAUGGUUGUCGUCAGCUCGUGUCGUGAGAUGUUGGGUUAAGUCCCGCAACGAGCGCAACCCUUGUUCUAUGUUGCCAGCACGUAAUGGUGGGGACUCAUGGGAGACUGCCGGGGUCAACUCGGAGGAAGGUGGGGACGACGUCAAAUCAUCAUGCCCCUUAUGUCUUGGGCUUCACGCAUGCUACAAUGGCCGGUACAAUGGGUUGCGAUACUGUGAGGUGGAGCGAAUCCCUAAAAGCCGGUCUCAGUUCGGAUUGGGGUCUGCAACUCGACCCCAUGAAGUCGGAGUCGCUAGUAAUCGCAGAUCAGCAACGCUGCGGUGAAUACGUUCCCGGGCCUUGUACACACCGCCCGU